rnacentral:rRNA from 1 species
UACGUAGGGAGCAAGCGUUGUCCGGAAUCAUUGGGCGUAAAGCGCGCGUAGGUGGCCUCAUAAGUCCGCUGUGAAAGUCAAAGGCUCAACCUUUGAAAGCCGGUGGAUACUGUGAGGCUAGAGUACGGAAGAGGCGAGUGGAAUUCCUGGUGUAGCGGUGGAAUGCGCAGAUAUCAGGAGGAACACCAAUAGCGAAGGCAGCUCGCUGGGACGUAACUGACGCUGAGGAGCGAAAGCAUGGGGAGCGAACAGG